CAAUAGCGUAUAUUUAAGUUGCUGCAGUUAAAAAGCUCGUAGUUGGAUUUCGGGUGGGAAUGGCCGGUCCGCCGUUUCGGUGUGCACUUGCUACGCCCACCUUGCUGCCGGGGACGUGCUCUUGAGUUCACGCUCGGGACACGGAGUCGGCGAGGUUACUUUGAGUAAAUUAGAGUGUUCAAAGCAGGCCUACGCUCUGAAUACAUUAGCAUGGAAUAACACGAUAGGACUCUGGCCUAUCUUGUUGGUCUGUAGGACCGGAGUAAUGAUUAAGAGGGACAGUCGGGGGCAUUCGUAUUUCAUUGUCGGAGGUGAAAUUCUUGGAUUUAUGAAAGACGAACUACUGCGAAAGCAUUUGCCAAGGAUGUUUUCAUUAA
rnacentral:rRNA from 1 species